rnacentral:lncRNA from 1 species
UUCCUUGAAUCUUUUUCUCCAUCUCCGGGAGGAGAAGCAAACGAAGCUGUUGCAAGCUAGAAGUAUUAAAAUUCUAGAGUACGUUCAUUUCCUUGAUCUUUUUCAAAUGAAUGACGAGUCUUUCAUUUUUUAUUUUUUUUUUUUCUGUUUUAAAAAAAAUGCUGGUGGUGAUUUUAUUACAUUUGCCGAGAUAACUUGUUUCUGAUACUUUUCAAUGAUCCUAUGCUUUGCUGCAGGAAAUGCAGGAUAUCGGAUGGUGCUUAUUCUCUUCUACAUUCUUCAGGCACUAUUGGUCAAGUAU